rnacentral:lncRNA from 1 species
CAAACUGUUUAUCCGAUAAAAUAUUUUUGUGCACUCUGCUCUGUUUAAGGUUCGCAUAAGUUAAUCGAUCGAGGUUCUCUCUUGACCUAACACGUUAUUUGAGAAUUGUGUACACCUAUUAGCUAACUCAGUGGGUUGAUAUCCAUUCGGGCACUAAUCAUGUAUGAAGCGUUACAAGGGUGCUCGACGGGAUGUGUUCCGGAGCAUUAGGUCCCAAAUGGGAACUUGGCUGAGUUACGGCCUCAGUUCAAGUGAGUAGGAGUAAUGGAUCCGUCGGUGGCUAAAAGGUCCGGGAUCACAACGAGUAACGAAAAG